UACGAAGGGGGCUAGCGUUGUUCGGAUUUACUGGGCGUAAAGCGCACGUAGGCGGAUUGGUCAGUUAGAGGUGAAAUCCCGAAGCUCAACUUCGGAACUGCCUUUAAUACUGUCAGUCUAGAGUCCGGAAGAGGUAAGUGGAACUCCUAGUGUAGAGGUGGAAUUCGUAGAUAUUAGGAAGAACACCAGUGGCGAAGGCGGCUUACUGGUCCGGUACUGACGCUGAGGUGCGAAAGCGUGGGGAGCAAACAGG
rnacentral:rRNA from 1 species